rnacentral:ncRNA from 2 species
AGGAGCCGUGUGCGUAAAUAGCGCAAGCACGGUUCUGUGAGGGGGGUGGAACACAAUCUACCGUAAGGUAGAGAGGUUCCCUUCUACUCGAC